GGGGAUUUAGCUCAGUGGUAGAGCGGCUGCCUAGCAAGCGCAAGGCCCUGGGUUCAGUCCCCA
rnacentral:tRNA from 1 species